UACAGGAAACACGACGACCGCCUGCACUCGUCUAGCAAACCCCAAUCUAUGCGUUUCACCAGGCGAGGAAUCUGGCCAGAAGAUACUACAUCCAUGCCGCUUUCUCUGCGUUCAGAAAGAGGCAGACGUUAUGAGGGAUUUUACUGCCCCAAGGAAGAAAUCAGAAGUCUCAAGACAUGGUGCCUCAUCUCUGUAACCAUCCUUUCAGCCUGAUACAGUCCAAUUGUUCUUUGGAGUUUCUUGAUUUUGCUGCCCUCACUUGGUUUGCAGGCAUAAAAGAGACCUGAGAAAUAGAAGAGCAGCUGAGUCUGUAAUCAGGAGGAAGGAGCCUUCGCUCCCAGCAACCGAACAAGACAGCAACUGAUAGGCUCAUCUUAAUAGUAAAACAGAUACUUUAACUGGAACUCACAGAAUGUGUUUUGUACAUAAAGGUAAGGAUAUGAAAUAUAUUUGAUGUUGACCAAAAAAGCUGAUUUGAGAUGUUGUUUUCUUUUUGGACUUAGUUAGUUUCACAUGAAUGUUGAAGGUUUAUAUGCUAAAGCCUGCUAGGACACAUCAAGCCAAACCAGAAGCAUUUUUCCACUAAACAGAUAUUAUUCAAGGUCUGCUUGCACAUACAUUAUUUAAUAUAAUUAUUCAAGUCUUCUGUAAUUAUGUAAUGUUUUUACCUCUCCAAGAAUCCGAGCAGCA